UAAAAACCCCGACUUCGGAAGGGGUGUAUUUAUUAGAUACAAAACCAAUGCCCUUCGGGGCUCUUUGGUGAUUCAUGAUAACUAUACGAAUCGCAUGGCCUUGCGCCGGCGAUGGUUCAUUCAAAUUUCUUCCCUAUCAACUUUCGAUGUUUGGGUAUUGGCCAAACAUGGUUGCAACGGGUAACGGAGGGUUAGGGCUCGACCCCGGAGAAGGAGCCUGAGAAACGGCUACUACAUCCAAGGAAGGCAGCAGGCGCGCAAAUUACCCAAUCCCGACUCGGGGAGGUAGUGACAAUAAAUACUGAUACAGGGCCCUUUCGGGCCUUGUAAUUGGAAUGAGUACAAUUUAAAUCCCUUAACGAGGAACAAUUGGAGGGCAAGUCUGGUGCCAGCAGCCGCGGUAAUUCCAGCUCCAAUAGCGUAUAUUAAAGUUGUUGUGGUUAAAAAGCUCGUAGUUGAACCUUGGGCCUGGCUGGCCGGUCCGCCUCACCGCGUGCACUGGUCCGGCCGGGCCUUUCCCUCUGUGGAACCCCAUACCCUUCACUGGGCGUGGCGGGGAAACAGGACAUUUACUUU
rnacentral:rRNA from 1 species